rnacentral:rRNA from 1 species
UACGUAGGGCGCAAGCGUUGUCCGGAAUUAUUGGGCGUAAAGAGCUCGUAGGCGGCCUGUUGCGUCCGCUGUGAAAUCCCGGGGCUCAACCCCGGGCGUGCAGUGGAUACGGGCUGGCUGGAGGCAGGCAGGGGAGAACGGAAUUCCUGGUGUAGCGGUGAAAUUCGUAGAUAUUCGCAAGAACACCAGUGGCGAAGGCGGCUCACUGGCCCGAUACUGACGCUGAGGCACGAAAGCGUGGGGAGCAAACAGG